CAAAAAAGGGGGGGACGGGGGACGCCACUCGAGCAGCUCCGAGCAGCUCGAGGCUCCAUCACUCAUGGAGCAGAGAAGCCCUUCGCCAGUUUGCCGGACGGUCGUCGACAGCAGAGCAGACACACGAGUGCACAUAUAGCAACAAAUACCCUGUCUGUUGGUUGCAUACAAAGUACAUACCUAGGUUACAUUUGAUACAUCAUGUAUUUGCAAUUCAUUUAACAACACAAGUUGUUGAUAAAACAAUUACUGAUAUUUAGGCACUUUUACUUUAAAACAGGUACAUAAUUUGAUGUGUGCAUGGUUUAAGAAAGCAUUUAAUUUAAGUACUUUCAAGUAAAUUUCUUUCUUUCUUUAGAGUUGAACUUUUCUGAACUAUCAACUGUGACUAGAUUGACAAAUGCCAAAAGAAAAGUUAAAUCAAAACAGGUCCUGUCUACAGGAAUGUAAGAGAGAAAUUAUAUCUAACCCUGACACCACAAAAGAAAUGCUGGAAUAAAAUUUUACGGUAAAAGGAAGAAGAAAUCUAGUCUAAGACCUUGUAUCAGCACAAAACGUAACAAGUCUCAGUCAAUCAGAUAUCUAAAAGAAAAAGAAUAAAA